UUGAGCUUGGUCCCCCGACUAGGUAUCGCCCGAUCCCCCGGUCUUCUUUCCAUUCGGUCCUUGGUCCGGUUCUUUGAUUAACACUUUUGUCGGUAUCGCAGGGACACCUCCAAGAAUGCGGCCGUCCGAUGCCGAGAUUCGGCAAUUCGCAUCAAGGAAGAGGCCGGCAUCGGGGGCAGGACCUUCGCGUCCUCCGAAGAAGCCUGCUCCCAUGGCGCCGACCGUCGAAGCAUCGGUGACCGACCAAUCGGAGCCCGUCAUAGCGCUCGCGGCUCCGGCAGUGCCUGCGGAGGAGAGGCCGGUGGAAGGAGCGGCCGAAGGAACAUCGGCGG
rnacentral:lncRNA from 1 species